rnacentral:lncRNA from 1 species
AAGGCCCCUAGGGAAAACUGGACUUCGGGUGCAGCCUAGCCGGGGUGAUGGAUGAACAGUGACAGCUCCUGCCGAAGAGUAAACACAGAGAAAUAUAGAUAUACCUUCUCCAACACCUGCAGCAAUUGUUUCUGCAGAAUGAGGUUGAAGAAAGCAGCAGUUGCCUCCAUCUGAGUGGAGGACCAAUCUUCACAGACAGGAAGCCAGCCGCUAUGCUGUGAUGAUGCUCAAGCACGCCUGUGGAGAGAUCCAUACAAAGAGGAACUGAGGCCUCCUGCCAGCAGUCAGCACCAGUUUGCCAGUCCUAUGGAUGAACAACCUUGAGAGCAGAUCCUCCAGUUCUCGUCAAGCUUCAGAUGACUGCAGCCCUGGCUAACAUCAACCACAUGAGAGAUCCCAAAGCAGAACCAAGUUUUUGACCCACAGGAAGAGUGAGAGAUGAGAAAACUGAGAUUCAGAGAAGUUAAGGAAGUAGACCAAAAACAUCAUUGAAGCUGAGAGACCCAAGUCAAGGUAAAGAGAAGAAGGAACCUCUGUGAAUGAAGCCUAAAGAACCAAUAUGGCAGCUCAAUAUGCCACAAGCUACAGGGAAAGCCUUGAGGGGAGCUGUUGUCUCAGCAUCAUGGAACAGCAACAUGGAUGGAGCUGGAGGCCAUUAUUCUAAGA